UGUGGAUACUAUUCACACAUUUUGCAGAUCUGAAGCAAUCAUGAUUCACUUUUUCUUCGAGGACGGCGAUUGUUGCAAUAGUAAGUUGUGGAUAAUUGAGUUAAAAUUGACUCCGCCAGACUCAGAUGGAUUACAGGUCAUUAAAAGGAAAUAAGGGAAGAAAUCUACGAAGGACUACAAGAUGCAAAAAGAGCGGGAGAAACCAUCGUAGACGAACUAGGCAAGAAGAUAGUAUUACCUUCUUCAUACAUUGGUGGACCGCGUGAUAUGAAGAAGCAACACCAAGAUGCGAUGGCAUUGGUACAUAAAUAUGGGAAGCCUGAUAUAUUUCUUACAAUGACUUGCAAUCCACUUUGGUCUGAGAUUGUAGCUGAAUUACGUCCCGGUCAAUUUGCAUCAGAUAUACCAGAUUUAACAACUAGGGUAUUCUGUGCUAAAUUUGAAGAGUUGAAGGAAGAUGUUUUUAACUAGAAUGUACUAGGAAGAGUAGCUGCCAUGUUCAUGUGAUUGAAUUUCAGAAAAGAGGUCUACCCCAUGUUCAUAUGUUGAUCAUUUUGGAAAAAGAAGACAAGUUAUAAGGUUCUGAUGAUUAUGAUCGCAUAGUUAGAGCAGAAAUACCUGAUAAAAAGAAAGAGCCCGAGUUGUAUAAGCAUAUGAAAAAAUGGAUGAUUCAUGGUCUGUGUGGUAGCAAGUGCAUGAGGGAAGGAAAGUGCCAGAGAGGGUUUCUGAAACAAUUUUAUGAAUGUAUCGUGCAAGGAAAGAAUGCAUAUCCAGUUUACCAGAAGAGAGAUGAUGGAAAUACUAUACCAAUGAGUAAGAACUUCAUAGCAGAUAACAGAUUUGUGGUGCCUUACAAUCCUUGGCUUCUUCAGAAAUACGGUUGCCACAUAAAUAUAGAAGUUUGUUCCAGUGUCCAAAGUGUGAAGUAUCUUUACAAGUACGUCUACAAGGGCCCAGAUUGUAUUUACUUUCGAGUGCAGCCAGAAUCCGAGAAAGACGAGGUAGCACAUUAUAUCAAUGCAAGAUGGGUGUGUGCUCAAGAGGCAAUGUGGAGAAUAUACAGGUUUGUGAUGACUAAGAUGUGUCCAUCAGUUCAACAAUUGCAGUUGCAUCUUCCCAAAGAAAAUAGUAUCAUGUUAUACGAGCAUUAAACAGUCGAUGAGGUCUAGGCAAAUGAAAGGAAUUCUAAUACGAUGUUGACUGCAUAUUUUUUUACAAAUGGAUGUGAUCAUAUGGCUAGGUAAUGGUUAUAUCGGAA